rnacentral:ncRNA from 2 species
AUUUGAUAAAGGCAAAAUCACUGAAAGGUGAUGACGCAAAGCUACGGGUCUAAGGUUGAAAAACUAUGAUCGCCGGGUUGCCAAU